rnacentral:rRNA from 1 species
UACGGGGGGGGCAAGCGUUGUUCGGAAUUAUUGGGCGUAAAGGGCUCGUAGGCGGUUUGUCGCGUCGGGAGUGAAAACGCCGUGCUUAACACGGCGCUUGCUUUCGAUACGGGCAGACUAGAGGUAUGCAGGGGAGAACGGAAUUCCUGGUGUAGCGGUGAAAUGCGCAGAUAUCAGGAGGAACACCGGUGGCGAAGGCGGUUCUCUGGGCAUUACCUGACGCUGAGGAGCGAAAGUGUGGGGAGCGAACAGG